UAGAGCAUCACCCGCCUAUGAGUGAGAACGUGCGGUAUUUCAUUUUCUGUUCUUGUGUCAGUUUGCUGAGAAUGAUGUUCUCCAGAUUCAUCCAUGUCCCUACAAAGGACACGAACUCAUCAUUUUUGAUGGCUGCAUAAUAUUCCAUGGUGUAUAUGUGCCACAUUUUUCCAGUCCAGUCUAUCAUCAAUGGGCACUUGGGUUGGUUCCAGGUCUUUGCUAUUGUAAACAGUGCUGCAAUGAACGUUUGUGUGCAUGUGUAACAAUGAGAGCACAUGAACACAGGGAGGGGAGCACUACACACUGGGGUCUAUUGGGGGGAAUAGGGGAGGGACAGCGGGGGGGGAGCUGGGGAGGGAUAGCAUGGGGAGAAAUGCCAGAUGUGGGUGAAGGGGAAGAAGACAGCAAAUCACACUGCCACGUAUGUACCUAUGCAACUAUCUUGCAUGUUCUGCACAUGUACCCCAAAACCUAAAAUGCAAUUAAAAAAAGCAAUACAAUUUAAAAAAAAAAAGAAACUAGAGCAUGAGAGGUAGAAGGACUUCAAUGCAAUUCAGAUUCCAGGCUCUUUCAGACAGCAAUUUAUCUGGGAUCAAAAUUGAUCUAGAUGAAAGGGUUGGCCUAUAUUUACAGGUGAAGGCGAAUUUGACAUUUAGAAAAAUAUGGAGGUCAGGAGCCAGAGUCAACAAACAUCCUCACUGUUCAACUUUUAACCACCUCCACUGAAUGACUGCAUAAUAUAUUUUCAAAUUCUUGCCUAGGCAGUGCCUAGUAUUUAAUUCUGAUGCACUGAUAUUUUGAGAUACUACAUUUUAUUUUGCUUGGUAAAUUUAUCUCAUACCUGUCUACUCUUUUCAUUUCAAUUAGGUAGCCAGAUUUUUUAAUUUCUUGAAUCAGAGAUUUUGGAAGCAGUAAGAUUAAGAAAAGGCCAAAGAAGCUUGUCUUUCACAAAAGCCUAAGCAAAAUGAAGAGACUGAUGGGAGACCUGGGCAGAAGGGAGCAGAGAAAGUAUCUUUGCAGCAGAUGCAAGUUUCCACCAAAUAGGGAAAAGAGAGAGUCUUCAAUCUUCGUACCAGAGUCUAGUGCACUAACUAGCCCAAGGCAGUGUCUGAUGAGAGCACUACCCCAUAUUCUUCAUUGGUACAUAGAACAUUUACAAAAGAAAAGGAACAGGAGGAGGAGGAAAAAAUAGGGAGAAAGGUAAGUAGAAAAAAAAGAAGGGAGGAAAAGAAGAAAGAGAAAAGGGGGAAAGCAAGCAGAGUUAAUUCAGAGGAGCAUUAAAAAACAUUAACUUUAUCACUGGUAAAAUCAGGCUACAGAACACAG
rnacentral:lncRNA from 13 species